rnacentral:tRNA from 1 species
AUUUAAAUAGUUUAAUUUAAAAUAAUAUUUUGUGAAAUUAUAGAUAUUUUUGAUUUUAAAUU